rnacentral:rRNA from 1 species
UACGUAGGGGGCAAGCGUUGUCCGGAAUCAUUGGGCGUAAAGAGCGUGUAGGCGGCCAGACAGGUCCGUUGUGAAAACUGGAGGCUCAACCUUCAGACGUCGACGGAAACCGUCUGGCUAGAGUCCGGAAGAGGAGAGUGGAAUCCUGGUGUAGCGGUGAAAUGCGCAGAUAUCAGGAAGAACACCGAUGGCGAAGGCAGCUCUCUGGGACGGUACUGACGCUGAGACGCGAAAGCGUGGGGAGCGAACAGG